UAUUGGAAGACUUGAAACGGUGCUUACUUAGGAUCUCAUCUCAUGAUAUCGCUCUCUUUCUUAGGUGAUGAUCCACUUUCGGAUCGAUUGAAAAAAUUAAAUCAUACUUGUAACAUCUAUCUAUGUGGACUCCGGAGUGCUUAGGUUCUCUCCAGAGACGCAGUCUUCUCUGUUCCGAUGGCCGAGGCUAAUAGUCUACCAGGUGUGUUGGAUCAAGGACCUGGUGACUCUAGAGAAGUACUUGCAAGAUAUAUAUUGAAGAAACUUAAGGAUCUAAAGGCACCAAUCCAAGCCUCUUGUUAGUACUUGUGUUAUUGUUUUACUUUUGUUACAAGUUGUGAACUUCGUGUUAGUAGUAUUCUUUUCAUUAGGUCUUGGUCUAAUUCAUUGGUUUUUUUUUUGUU